rnacentral:sRNA from 1 species
GCUGCCUGGAAUUUAACGAGGAUGAGAACCUCCGGGGGCAAGAGGUUCGACUCGAGCGUAGCGAGAGAACGUUGCGCGAGCAACGGCCCGAAGGGCGAGCCACGCAGUGGCGAGUAAUCCUCUAUCACCGACCA